AAACACCCUCAGCUCCCCCGCUUCUUAGGAAGAGAGGAGCUGGACUUGAGAGAUCCCAACGGCAGUGAGAACUGCUGGCGGGUCACUUGAAAUGCAGGUGCGGCUGGACACAUCUUCUGAGCUAUAAGCAUUACUUAUUUAGUCCCGUAAAACGGAUUAUAUCUAUUGCUACAGCUAACAUAAAGGUCGAUUGUUCUUGUGCCCGACUGAUGCAGGAAAAUGAAGGCGUCUAAUAGCGUCCUUUGUUCA
rnacentral:misc_RNA from 1 species